rnacentral:misc_RNA from 1 species
AAGAAGAGUAGAUACAGUGAUACAGAGGACAGUGAAGAAAGCGAGACAGGUGAUUCUGAUGUCAGUGACCAUGUCAAGUCAAGAAAAAGGAGUCGUACAAAGAGGUCCAAGAAUAGUAGGAAGAGGAGGUACAGUGAUUCAGAUGAGAGUGAGGAAAGUGAAGGCAAAAAGUUGAGGAAGCGGAGGAGCUCUUCGACUUCAUCGAAAUCCAGGAGCAAGAGAAAAGGACAGUCAGAAACGGAGAGUAAAAGCAGCUCGUCUGAGGAGAAUUCUGGUUCUGAAGACAUUGAUGAAAAGAGUAAAUUAACGGUUGAUGGAGAGAAAAUGGCCGAGAUUAAU